AGGACGAACGCUGGCGGCGUGCUUAACACAUGCAAGUCGAGCGGAAAGGCCCUUCGGGGUACUCGAGCGGCGAACGGGUGAGUAACACGUGAGCAACCUGCCCUUAGCUCUGGGAUAGCUCCGGGAAACCGGAAUUAAUACCGGAUAUGACCUAGGCCGACAUCGGCCGUGGUGGAAAGUUUUUCGGCUAGGGAUGGACUCGCGGCCUAUCAGCUAGUUGGUGGGGUAAUGGCCUACCAAGGCGACGACGGGUAGCCGGCCUGAGAGGGCGACCGGCCACACUGGGACUGAGACACGGCCCAGACUCCUACGGGAGGCAGCAGUGGGGAAUCUUGCGCAAUGGGCGAAAGCCUGACGCAGCGACGCCGCGUGGGGGAUGAAGGCCUUCGGGUUGUAAACCCCGUUUCAGCAGGGACGAAGCGAAAGUGACGGUACCUGCAGAAGAAGCGCCGGCUAACUACGUGCCAGCAGCCGC
rnacentral:rRNA from 1 species